rnacentral:rRNA from 1 species
CAGGCGCGCGGCRAUCGCKUGACGGGAGCGUUAGCGUUUUCCGCACCUUUCGUCGUGUUCUCGAUCCGGCGGCGAACGCGUGCACUUUUCUCCUGGUAGGACGUCGCGAUCCGUUGGGUGUCGGUCUAAGGUAGAACGGCGGAGCCMGUGAACACGACCUCGUGUCGUCRUUUGCRAACCCGUUCUUUCCCGGCCGACUCGCUCGACGGUAUACGAAAGGUUUAAGGCCGCUCUCUGAGAGCGUUCGACCCGCGACAAGCGCGCCAGCAGCCGUUGGCUAUCGGACCUAGCGCCGGUACCGACCUCUGGUGACUGUUGGUCGUGGUGUUCUCGAACAGACCUCAAACACCGAUCUGCGACGCUAUAGCUUUGGGUACUUUCAGGACCCGUCUUGAAACACGGACCGUGGAGUCUAGCAUGUGCGCGAGUCAUUGGGAAUUACUAAACCUAAAGGCGUAAUGAAAGUAAAGGUUCGUCUCGCACGGACCGAGGGAAGAUGGGCGAUUUACCCUUAAAAGUGGUCGCUCCGCAUUCCCGGGGCGUCUCGUUCUCAUUGCGAGAAGAGGCGCACCAAGAGCGUACACGCUGGGACCCGAAAGAUGGUGAACUAUGCCUGGUCAGGACGAAGUCAGGGGAAACCCUGAUGGAGGUCCGUAGCGAUUCUGAC